rnacentral:rRNA from 1 species
GAAUUACUGGGCGUAAAGCGCACGCAGGCGGUUUGUUAAGUCAGAUGUGAAAUCCCCGCGCUUAACGUGGGAACUGCAUUUGAAACUGGCAAGCUAGAGUCUUGUAGAGGGGGGUAGAAUUCCAGGUGUAGCGGUGAAAUGCGUAGAGAUCUGGAGGAAUACCGGUGGCGAAGGCGGCCCCCUGGACAAAGACUGACGCUCAGGUGCGAAAGCGUGGGGAGCAAACAGGAUUAGAUACCCUGGUAGUCCACGCUGUAAACGAUGUCGACUUGGAGGUUGUGCCCUUGAGGCGUGGCUUCCGGAGCUAACGCGUUAAGUCGACCGCCUGGGGAGUACGGCCGCAAGGUUAAAACUCAAAUGAAUUGACGGGGGCCCGCACAAGCGGUGGAGCAUGUGGUUUAAUUCGAUGCAACGCGAAGAACCUUACCUACUCUUGACAUCCACAGAAUUCGCUAGAGAUAGCUUAGUGCCUUCGGGAACUGUGAGACAGGUGCUGCAUGGCU